rnacentral:rRNA from 1 species
UGAUACCCCGGUAGUCCAUGCCGUAAACGUUGGGCACUAGGUGUGGGGCUCAUUCCACGAGUUCCGUGCCGCAGCAAACGCAUUAAGUGCCCCGCCUGGGGAGUACGGCCGCAAGGCUAAAACUCAAAGGAAUUGACGGGGGCCCGCACAAGCGGCGGAGCAUGCGGAUUAAUUCGAUGCAACGCGAAGAACCUUACCAAGGCUUGACAUGCACGGGAAGCCACCAGAGAUGGUGGUCUCUUUGGACACUCGUGCACAGGUGGUGCAUGGUUGUCGUCAGCUCGUGUCGUGAGAUGUUGGGUUAAGUCCCGCAACGAGCGCAACCCUGUCCCAUGUUGCCAGCGGGUUAUGCCGGGGACUCAUGGGAGACUGCCGGGGUCAACUCGGAGGAAGGUGGGGAUGACGUCAAAUCAUCAUGCCCCUUAUGUCUUGGGCUUCACGCAUGCUACAAUGGCCGGUACAAAGGGCUGCGAUACCGUAAGGUGGAGCGAAUCCCAAAAAGCCGGUCUCAGUUCGGAUUGGGGUCUG